rnacentral:pre_miRNA from 1 species
UCCUACGUUUACAUGAUGGUCAAGGUAAUAGUUCAUAGAGCUUGAACAAUUUGAGCGAUGCUUAUGCCUUUAAGCUCUAUGUACUUUCACAGGACCGGAAUCUGGAAUGG